rnacentral:tRNA from 1 species
GUUAAGAUGGCAGACUCUGGCAAUGCAAAAGAUCUAAGUUCUUUCAAAAGAGGUUCAAAUCCUCUUCUUAACU